UCCCUGGUGGCUCAGAUGGUGAAGCGUCUGUCUACAAUGCAGGAGACCCGGGUUCAAUCCCUGGUUUGGGAA
rfam:Ovis aries breed Texel chromosome 3, whole genome shotgun sequence.